rnacentral:ncRNA from 2 species
UGACCCCGUACGGGAGAGAGCCCGCGUAGCCAAUGCGGGCCGCCGAAGGAGCAAUCCCUCCCCGAUGACAACCUCUCAGGCACGCUGGACCGUACGGGCGAG